UACAACACUGAUGUGAUGAUUUCUGAAGAAGAAAGCUUGAUCAUGUGUUUAGUGAGGGAAAGGAAGUCUUGCCGGUUGAACUGCUUUAACCCUUUACCCAUCAGAAAUGCAUUAUGAACAGAACGUGGCGUCUCAUCAGGAUCCAAACUGUUUGCUAUUCGGAUAGUAUUCUUUGAAAAAAAUCGAAGAAAAUGCUAAUUUUAAAAAUUCAGCAGACGACAUUUUAGCAGAAGACAAAUUUCCCAGCAUGCAAAGGGUUAAAGAGCUUCAAUACUUCUAUUCAACCCUGAGCACACCCACAUCACCUGACCUCCUUAUUGUCUGGACAUUGACAUACUUCUAUUCAACCCUGAGCACACCCACAUCACCUGACCUCCUUAUUGUCUGGACAUUGACAUACUUCUAUACAACCCUGAGCACACCCACAUCACCUGACCUCCUUAUUGUCUGGACAUUGACAUACUUCUAGUCAACCCUGAGCACACCCACAUCACCUGACCUCCUUAUUGUCUGGACAUUGACAUACUUCUAUACAACCCUGAGCAUACUUUCUUACUUUUUGAUCUAGACUUCUAAUGGGCCCAUGAAUCAAUACAGUCUAGGCUUCCACAGGAGGCAUUUGUGUUUAUUUAAUGAAUUAUCUUGUUGCCACUUCAUUUUUUGCUUAUAUUUACUUAUGCAUAAUGCAUAAACAUGUUGAAUUAAAUAAAUGUUCCUUGUGUUUCAGAUGUUAUUUUAUUAAAGACAUUUGGUUUGUUUGAAAAUGUAUUUGAAUAGAUAUUUUUUGUUAACAAUUUCUUUUAUUUUGUUGUUAAAUCAGAUCAGACGCUGAGAUAAAAUUGAAUGUUUUUCUAUAGCCUUUAUUACUUUGUCAACAGUAAGCUCUAAUCAAUAAGCUGCCUUGUGGAAAAAGGAAUUUAGUGCAUGUUGGCCAAGUUAUGUCCCAGGUGAGCCUUUGCAGGUCACACAGGCUGAUGAGGGACAACUCUUUGUGCUUGCAGGUCACACAGGCUGAUAUAGGACAACUCUUUGUGCUUGCAGGUCACACAGGCUGAUAUGGGACAACUCUUUGCAGGUCACACAGGCUGAUGAGGGACAACUCGUUGUGCUUGCAGGUCACACAGGCUGAUAUGGGACAACUCUUUGUGCUUGCAGGUCACACAGGCUGAUAUGGGACAACUCUUUGUGCUUGCAGGUCACACAGGCUGAUGAGGGACAACUCUUUGUGCAGGUCACACAGGCUGAUGAGGGACAAUUCUUUGUGCUUGCAGGUCACACAGGCUGAUGAGGGACAACUCUUUGUGCUUGCAGGUCACACAGGCUGAUAUGGGACAACUCUUUGUGCUUGCAGGUCACACAGGCUGAUGAGGGACAACUCUUUGUGCUUGCAGGUCACACAAGCUGAUGAGGGACAACUCUUUGCAGGUCACACAGGCUGAUGAGGGAC